GAUGAACACUGGCGGCGUGCCUAAUACAUGCAAGUCGAGCGAACAGAUAAGGAGCUUGCUCCUUUGACGUUAGCGGCGGACGGGUGAGUUACACGUGGAUAACCUACCUAUAAGACUGGGAUAACUUCGGGAAACCGGAGCUAAUACCGGAUAACAUAUUGAACCGCAUGGUUCAAUAGUGAAAGGCGGCUUUGCUGUCACUUAUAGAUGGAUCCGCGCCGUAUUAGCUAGUUGGUAAGGUAACGGCUUACCAAGGCAACGAUACGUAGCCGACCUGAGAGGGUGAUCGGCCACACUGGAACUGAGACACGGUCCAGACUCCUACGGGAGGCAGCAGUAGGGAAUCUUCCGCAAUGGGCGAAAGCCUGACGGAGCAACGCCGCGUGAGUGAUGAAGGUCUUCGGAUCGUAAAACUCUGUUAUCAGGGAAGAACAAAUGUGUAAGUAACUGUGCACAUCUUGACGGUACCUGAUCAGAAAGCCACGGCUAACUACGUG
rnacentral:rRNA from 1 species